UCCCUUUUUGAUUUUCUGGGGUGGAUUUAUGUAUCAAAUGUGUUGUUUAACAAAAGUGUAAACAAAUCAAAACAAUAAAAAUGAAUGAGGCAGUAGAGAUGUGCAGUAAUCCAUGCAAUGCAAAAGAAGUUGACAUUUGUGUGUGGACUAUCUGCCCAACUAUGGUUUAAUGUGCACCUGUUUUCUGCUAGUAUUGCAUACAUAGGAACUAAAUUCAACAAAACCAAUAUGAAAGGAUAUUAGAGGCUUUAAAAGGGAAUCCACCGAUUUUACACAUCAAAGUCUAUUUAUGCUUGGAAAGUGCUACUGAAUUUGUGAAAUGUUGUAUAAAGCCUUUUGUGACUAAAGAGGGAGCUGUGCGAAAGUCUGAGAAGUUGCCUCAAGUUCAACUUGGAGCUGAAAAUGACAAGUUUUAAAAUGAAAAAUGUGAGGUUACCAGACCCCUGUAGCCUGCUUCUCAUCUCUGCUUGAGACUCGAGGCUACAUUCACCGCUACAAGCAUAACAUACCCGAUCUCCAACCAAACCGUAGCAUCGUGGUGCAAUGCUAAAUUGGUGGACUGUCACUUUUAAGGACCAGGGGUUAAAAUUGUGUUGGUUGAUUCCCGUCAGCUGUGCCACCCUUUCCGUCUGAGCUUAGACUUCUUUUCCUCGCCAGCUAUCACAGUUUUAGAUGUUAAGAUUGUUUUUUGACUAGUAGAUAGUUUCUGUUUCCAGUCAUGUAAAUAGCAGACACUAGGGAUGUAACAAUUACCGGUGUAACGGUAAACCACGAUAAAAAUGUUGACGAUAACAAUUACCGUUUUCAUUUAAAAUAUCUUUAUUAUCACGGUGGAUUACCACGGUGUGGAAACCGUGUGUUUAAUCCUUCCCAGCUUCAUCCGAGCCUCCUGAAGUUGUGUGUACAGUUUUACAUUUUAAUUUUGGUGAUGAAGAAAACAAGUAUAUAAUUAGUGGCGUUUCUUUGAUUUGUUUACAUAUUGUUCUUUAUGCCUUGGCUUGAAUGUUUGGAUUUGUAAAAUUUAAACACGCACUACUGGAAAUGUUCCUGACAAAUAAGCUGUUUACAUGCUGAACCCUUGUUCCUUUGAUGUUAAAAGUUGCACUUUUGAUAAGGUUUUGCCUAUAUUUUUGUAAUAUAAUAAACACUGUUACACUUUUUGAAACUA